rnacentral:rRNA from 1 species
CCUACGGGUGGCUGCAGUCGAGGAUCUUCGGCAAUGGGCGCAAGCCUGACCGAGCGACGCCGCGUGUGGGAUGAAGGCCCUUGGGUUGUAAACCACUGUCAGAGGGGAUGAAAUGCGGGUGGGUAAUUCAUAAUCCCAUCCGUUUGACAUAGCCUCAGAGGAAGCACGGGCUAAGUUCGUGCCAGCAGCCGCGGUAAUACGAACUGUGCAAACGUUAUUCGGAAUCACUGGGCUUAAAGGGUGCGUAGGCGGCUUGCUAAGUAGGGUGUGAAAGCCCCCGGCUCAACCGGGGAACUGCGCCCUAAACUGGCGAGCUGGAGUGAGAUAGGGGUGUGUGGAACUUCCAGUGGAGCGGUGAAAUGUGUUGAUAUUGGAAGGAACACCGGUGGCGAAAGCGACACACUGGGUCUCAACUGACGCUGAGGCACGAAAGCCAGGGGAGCAAACGGGAUUAGAUACCCUAGUAGUC